CGGCGCCAGCCUAGCCCGAGGAUGGAGGCUGAGGCCGCCUGUUGAGUCACAGUUUCCCUGUGAUGCUCAUUUUAACCAGAUGGCACUUGCUUAGCAGUUUGGAGGAGAAGACCUGUUCCCCUGCAGCCUUCCAUGAUUAGACCUCAACUCAUGAGAACUCUUGCCUUGCUCACAAGUGGGAGUAAAUGCUCAUAGCUCUAGAAAUCUCCCAGGAACCAGACAUCACGGAAACUAGAAAGGCUAAGGGAGUCCAAUCUUCCUCUAAAUUGGCCAACAGUAGAGUGGUGGAAAGAGAACAAGCUGCAAACCAGACAGACCCAAGCUUGAAUCUCACCUCUGCCAAGCUACCAGCUGAAGCCAACCUCCCAGGAAAAGGAUGAGAGGAGAAAGCCAUCCUGCCUGGUGUGUGGAUAAUACCACCACCAGAGUCUCCUGUAAUUUUGAUUCGAUGGCAUGCAGCUGCGUGACCUAAGGCACGUAUCUCCAUUCACAGGGUGUGGUCAGUACUCUGUGAAUAUCAGGUGUUCUGUCUGCCCUGUCUCCUGUCUUCCUGGAGCCUGCCCUUACCCAGUGAGUCCCUGGAGGGAACAUUCUGGCAUCUGGCUGUGAGCUGUCACAGACAUGGGUUUCUUUCGGUUCCCAGAAUGAUGGGAUGCCAGCCGCUGGCUGCCCCCAAGAAACUUGGGAGCAGGACAGGCUUGGCUGUCCCAGAGGAAGAGCCUGGCAUUGGGCCAGGAGGCUCAGGAGGGAAGAUGAGCUCAUUCUGCCCAGCUCGGUUCUCCCGUAUGCAGACCAGGUCAUCACAGGGACCUGCCUCCACAUUUGCAUCCCCCACGGCAUAUUUUCCCAGCACAUGCAGCAUUGGGAACUUGAACGUCCCUCUGCUUUUCCUUGGUGAGACCCACCAGCCCCGCCUUAGGAAGGAGGCUGAACAUUUGACGGAGCUUUCCUGUCACCUGUGAGCGACGUGCACGCUGCUUCCGAAGAAAGAGACAUCCCCCUACUGUUUUCUCACAGUGGGAUGAUUCAACUUUUUCUUUCUCACAAUCCCAGAUAAUCAUAUCUUCCCAGGUUUUGUCAUCUUUGAGGACUACUCACUAUCUAGUUAUGAGUCAAACAAAACCCAAUUUAACUGAUAACUAACCAGCCAUCACGUAUCCCUGAAGAUAAACCUGGUUUAUCCUUUUUAUACCCUCUGGCAGAGCAAAGGAACAAGGAGUUUGGGAGAGAAAAAAAAACACAACACUAGAAACAGCACUGACACAGGUCGUUAAAUACAGAUGUGACCAGCCUUGAUUACAAGUGUUGUCAUCCUCUUUUAACAGGGACCUACCCCGAACUUUCAUGAACCCCUGGUAGCUGAAUAGCAGCUUGUCUAAGCGAGGUGCAGGGAUUUUGUCAAAGUCGGCCUCGGUGUUAAAGGCAGGGCCACCUACCAUGAACUUCUCUCUGUGACUUUAUUCUUUAGCAGUGCUCAAGUGUAAAUAAACUUGUUUACCAGGAUCAGAAUGGCCAUGUUAAUGAAGUCUUAUUUGUGUCACCACAAUGACAAGUAAUUUGUGCACAGCUGGACUCGGAGAGGGGACAAAACCAGAGAAAUUGUAUUUCUGUUCUGAAGUUUCCAUACAGAUGCCUUAGGCCAAAGUUAGUACAGCCAAUAUUUGCCUGUUUCUUUGGAUUGUGUGUCCAUGCUGGAGAAAAGCCUUGUUACUGUGCCCAGUGUGGUAAACGAAAUUAUAUGUACGCAGUGAGAAGAAAAAUGAAAUAAGAAGCACUGAUGAAUGUACCCACGGGUGUGACCUUGGGGGCCAGUGUGUGGUUUUUAUGAAAUGAACGCAUGAAUACGAGGACCCUAAUUAUUGCUUUCAACGGACAAAGUAUGGUGAAUAUAUAGAGAACGUUGCUGUACAACACUGGCUGUGUCUCAAAGCGGCUUUAGAAGUAAAUAUAGAAAUUCUUUGGUACAUGGUAUUGCAUAGAAAAGUCAUUAAGAAAAAAGCAAGACAAUUUGUUAAGACCUUGUUAAGUGGAGCUGGGGGAUGAUUAAUUUUGUUUGUUUGUUUUUGUUGUUCCCUGGUAGAGCUCAACAAACUACAGACCACGGGCCAAAUCUGACCCACCGCUGCUUUUGUAAAUAAAACUUUAUUGGAAAAAAGCCACAUUUGUGUAUGUGUUGUCUGUGGCUGCUUUUGUGCUACCGAGACAGAGGAGUGAACCUCAUCCAAGCCACUGAAGGCCUGAAUGGAAUGAAAA
rnacentral:lncRNA from 1 species